AUGCUCGCUUCAGCAGCACAAGUACUAAAAUUGGAAUGAUACAGAGAUUAGCAUGGCCCCUGCAUGAGGAUGACACACAAAUUCAUGAAGUGUUCCAUAACUUU